rnacentral:rRNA from 1 species
UGGGGAAUAUUGGGCAAUGGGCGCAAGCCUGAUGCAGCAACGCCGCGUGAGGGAAGACGGUUUUCGGAUUGUAAACCUCUGUCUUCGGUGAAGAAACAAAUGACGGUAGCCGAGGAGGAAGCCACGGCUAACUACGUGCCAGCAGCCGCGGUAAUACGUAGGUGGCGAGCGUUGUCCGGAAUUACUGGGUGUAAAGGGAGCGCAGGCGGGGAAACAAGUCAGCUGUGAAAACUAUGGGCUUAACCCAUAAACUGCAGUUGAAACUGUUUUUCUUGAGUGGAGUAGAGGUAGGCGGAAUUCCGAGUGUAGCGGUGAAAUGCGUAGAUAUUCGGAGGAACACCAGUGGCGAAGGCGGCCUACUGGGCUCUAACUGACGCUGAGGCUCGAAAGUGUGGGGAGCAAACA